GUUCCUUUUUAAUCUGACCGCAACAAGCAGGUGCAUAAAUAUAGGCUUAGUAUCCCUAAUCACCAGGGAAAUGUGUGUCAAAACCACAGCGAGCUAUUUUUUCAUUCCAUUUUGAAUGACAUCACCAACUGUACUCCGUUGCUGAGAAUUUAACUUAACCCAGCAACUAUGAAACAGUAUGGAGGUCCCUGAACAAAAAGGAAUAGACCACGACAUGAUUCUGCUGUGCAAGGGAAGUAAAAUUGUUCUGCUGAAGAGACAGUUGCACCCUGGUGUUUACUGCAGCACUGGGCACAUAAGCUACGUGGGAGAAACAGCGGAGAUGUCUGCUGGCACGCGGAUGAAGAAGCACUGAUGUGCACACACUCACCGCGGACUGUGGGCGGGUCCCGACAGGAACACAGACUUGCCAUUUUCAACCACACGGGGAGAACUAAGCGUCACCAUGUUAAGUGAAAUACAUCGUGCGCAGAAGCUGCUCAUCCUCUAACUGACCUGUGGGACCUGAAAGUGCCAACCUCACCGCAGGGGGUUGUUCCUGUCAGGUGAGCCAGGACGGAGGCCUGAGAAGUGAGCAUCUGAGACAAAGAGAUGAACCAGGAGAGAACUCUAGCUGUCCUCACAAGACAGAAUGUGGUAGAAGAAAGUAUCAGAGGUGUCUAGGCUCCUGCCAUGGGAGCUGCUCCACAUGCUUCAAAGACUGUCUCUUUGACAAGGCAACUCAAAGCCAGCUUCAUCAUCAAAGGUCCUGCCAGCAGAGCAAGGAUUUAGGAAACCUGCGUUCCUGGAGCUCCCUGUCAAAUGUGUAGGCAGUUCCACUGAAGAGUCCUUUACCCAGCGACUGUUAACCCUAAAGAACAUUGGAGAUGAAGCUUGCAGAUCUUGUAACUUUCUGAGCUUCCUGAGCCCUGUAAAUUUUUGAAAUGUCCUGUGUCUUAUGAGAGCUCUUUAUUUCUUCCUCUCUCUAGGAGGGUGUGUGUGUGUGUGUGUGUGUGUGUGUGUGUGUGUGUGCAUGCAUUUAGAAAUUUGGAGGGAGUAGCCUCACAACAAUAUAGACUAGACUAUUUUUAAAAUAAAAUGAGCCCAAAACUAAA